GGAGGUGUCCGGGCGCCUGGUGGGCUCCCCCGCCUUCAAAGCGGGUGGGACGGGUGAUCCCCGUCCGGCGGGUUCGAUUCCCGUCCACCUCCGCCA
rnacentral:tRNA from 2 species